rnacentral:rRNA from 1 species
GAUGAACGCUGACAGAAUGCUUAACACAUGCGAGUCUUUGGCGAAGCUGUGCUUGCACAGCCUAGCCAAGGCGGACGGGUGAGUAACGCGUAAGGAACUUGCCCUGCAGUCAGGGAUAACAGACGGAAACGACUGAUAAGACCUGGUAAAGUCAGGCGGACUCAUGUCCAGCCUGAUGAAAAGAGAUGCUGCAGGAGAGCCUUGCGUCCUAUUAGCUUGUUGGUGGGGUAACGGCCCACCAAGGCGAUGAUAGGUAGCCGGCCUGAGAGGGUGGACGGCCACAAGGGGACUGAGAUACGGCCCUUACUCCUACGGGAGGCAGCAGUGGGGAAUAUUGGACAAUGGGGGCAACCCUGAUCCAGCAAUUCUGUGUGCACGAUGAAGGUUUUCGGAGUGUAAAGUGCUUUCAGCAGGGAAGAAAAAAAUGACGGUACCUGCAGAAGAAGCGACGGCUAAAUACGUG